UAAAGCAUCGGUUGAACAUCCAAAUGGCCAGGCUGUGAUUUCAGCGUCCAGUUACGAGUGCACUAUAAAAAGCACCGUUCUAGUACCAAAAAUGUGACUGGUGAGAAUAUAGGACAACUUCUUGCAGAGCCAGGCUUAAGGCAGGAAUCAACUUCAUGGUCUACCAGCCAGACCCUUGGGAGGCAGCCUUGGACUCGAUGAGACAACUAUGAAGUGCCAAGACAGGAGGUGCUGUGGCUCCACAGGAACCUCGGAGAAUC
rnacentral:lncRNA from 1 species